rnacentral:tRNA from 1 species
GGCUUCAUAGUUCAGUUCGUAGAGUGUGGCACCAGUAUUGCGAGGUUAUGCUUUCGAAUCCCAUUGAAGUCC